rnacentral:rRNA from 1 species
UAGGGAAUCUUCGGCAAUGGACGGAAGUCUGACCGAGCAACGCCGCGUGAGUGAAGAAGGUUUUCGGAUCGUAAAGCUCUGUUGUUAGAGAAGAACGUUGGUAGGAGUGGAAAAUCUACCAAGUGACGGUAACUAACCAGAAAGGGACGGCUAACUACGUGCCAGCAGCCGCGGUAAUACGUAGGUCCCGAGCGUUUUCCGGAUUUAUUUGGCGUAAAGCGAGCGCUGGCGGUUCUUUAAGUCUGAAGUUAAAGGCAGUGGCUUAACCAUUGUACGCUUUGGAAACUGGAGGACUUGAGUGCAGAAGGUGAAAAUGGAAUUCCAUGUGUAGCGGUGAAAUGCGUAGAUAUAUGGAGGAACACCGGUGGCGAAAGCGGCUCUCUAGUCUGUAACUAACGCUGAGGCUCGAAAGCGUGGGGAGCAAACAGG